AUUGAACGCUGGCGGCAUGCUUUACACAUGCAAGUCGAACGGCAGCGCGGGCUUCGGGCUGGCGGCGAGUGGCGAACGGGUGAGUAAUGCAUCGGAACGUGCCCAGUAGUGGGGGAUAGCCCGGCGAAAGCCGGAUUAAUACCGCAUACGACCUGAGGGUGAAAGCGGGGGACCGAAAGGCCUCGCGCCAUUGGAGCGGCCGAUGUCGGAUUAGCUAGUUGGUGGGGUAAAGGCUUACCAAGGCGACGAUCCGUAGCUGGUCUGAGAGGAAGACCAGCCACACUGGGACUGAGACACGGCACAGACUCCUACGGGAGGCCGCAGUGGGGAAUUUUGGACGAUGGGGGCAACCCUGAUCCAGCCAUGCCGCGUGCGGGAAGAAGGCCUUCGGGUUGUAAACCGCUUUUGUUCGGGAAGAAAUCCUCUGGGCUAAUACCACGGGGGGAUGACGGUACCGGAAGAAUAAGCACCGGCUAACUACGUG
rnacentral:rRNA from 1 species